AGCCAGGCUAACUCAGUGCCAGCAGCCGCGGUAAUACAGAGGGUGCAAGCGUUAAUCGGAUUUACUGGGCGUAAAGCGCGCGUAGGCGGCUAAUUAAGUCAAAUGUGAAAUCCCCGAGCUUAACUUGGGAAUUGCAUUCGAUACUGGUUAGCUAGAGUGUGGGAGAGGAUGGUAGAAUUCCAGGUGUAGCGGUGAAAUGCGUAGAGAUCUGGAGGAAUACCGAUGGCGAAGGCAGCCAUCUGGCCUAACACUGACGCUGAGGUGCGAAAGCAUGGGGAGCAAACAGGAUUAGAUACCCUGGUAGUCCAUGCCGUAAACGAUGUCUACUAGCCGUUGGGGCCUUUGAGGCUUUAGUGGCGCAGCUAACGCGAUAAGUAGACCGCCUGGGGAGUACGGUCGCAAGACUAAAACUCAAAUGAAUUGACGGGGGCCCGCACAAGCGGUGGAGCAUGUGGUUUAAUUCGAUGCAACGCGAAGAACCUUACCUGGCCUUGACAUAGUAAGAACUUUCCAGAGAUGGCUUG
rnacentral:rRNA from 1 species